rnacentral:rRNA from 1 species
GACGAACGCUGGCGGCGUGCUUAACACAUGCAAGUCGAACGGAAAGGCCCUGCUUUUGUGGGGUGCUCGAGUGGCGAACGGGUGAGUAACACGUGAGUAACCUGCCCUUGACUUUGGGAUAACUUCAGGAAACUGGGGCUAAUACCGGAUAGGAGCUCCUGCUGCAUGGUGGGGGUUGGAAAGUUUCGGCGGUUGGGGAUGGACUCGCGGCUUAUCAGCUUGUUGGUGGGGUAGUGGCUUACCAAGGCUUUGACGGGUAGCCGGCCUGAGAGGGUGACCGGCCACAUUGGGACUGAGGUACGGCCCAGACUCCUACGGGAGGCAGCAGUGGGGAAUAUUGCACAACGGGCGGAAGCCUGAUGCAGCAACGCCGCGUGCGGGAUGACGGCCUUCGGGUUGUAAACCGCUUUCGCCUGUGACGAAGCGUGAGUGACGGUAAUGGGUAAAGAAGCACCGGCUAACUACGUG